rnacentral:rRNA from 1 species
CCUACGGGUGGCAGCAGUGGGGAAUAUUGGGCAAUGGGCGCAAGCCUGACCCAGCAACGCCGCGUGAAGGAAGAAGGCUUUCGGGUUGUAAACUUCUUUUAAGAGGGAAGAGCAGAAGACGGUACCUCUUGAAUAAGCCACGGCUAACUACGUGCCAGCAGCCGCGUUAAUACGGAGGUUGCAAGCGUUGUCCGGAUUUACUGGGUUUACAGGGCGUGUAGAGGGGCUGACAAGUCAGUUGUGAAAUUCCGGGGCUCAACCCCGGACCUGCAUUUGAAACUGUCGGUCUUGAGGAUCGGAGAGGCAGGCGGAAUUCGUGGUGUAGCGGUGAAAUGCGUAGAUAUUAGGAGGAACACCAGUGGCGAAGGCAGCCUACUGGACGACAACUGACGGUGAGGCGCGAAAGCGUGGGGAGCAAACAGGAUUAGAUACCCCAGUAGUC